rnacentral:tRNA from 1 species
CCUUCGAUAGCUCAGUUGGCAGAGCGGGGGACUGUAGUGGAAAUUGAUAGUAAUCCCUAGGUCGCUGGUUCAAAUCCGGCUCGAAGGA